GACAGAGGAUGCAAGCGUUAUCCGGAAUGAUUGGGCGUAAAGCGUCUGUAGGUGGCUUUUUAAGUCCGCCGUCAAAUCCCAGGGCCACCUGACCAGCGGUGGAAGACUACCAAGCUGGAGUACGGUAGGGGCAGAGGGAAUUUCCGGUGGAGCGGUGAAAUGCGUAGAGAUCGGAAAGAACACCAACGGCGAAAGCACUCUGCUGGGCCGACACUGACACUGAGAGACGAAAGCUAGGGGAGCGAAUGGG
rnacentral:rRNA from 1 species